rnacentral:tRNA from 1 species
AAAGUUUUAAGUUAAUAAAACUGAAGACCUUCAAAGUCUUCAAUAAAAGUAAAAUCUAUUAAACUUUA